GUUAUAUGACCAAGCAACUAAGCGCACACGGUGGAUGCCUUGGCGGCAGAAGGCGAUGAAGGACGUGACAGCCUGCGAUAAGUCACGGGGAGCUGGCAAUAUGCUUUGAUCCGUGAAUGUCCGAAUGGGGAAACCCACUCCGCUUGCGGAGUAUCCCUACCUGAAUCUAUAGGGUAGGGAAGCGAACCCGGAGAACUGAAAUAUCUAAGUACCCGGAGGAAAAGAAAUCAACCGAGAUUCCCUCAGUAGCGACGAGCGAACGGGGAUUAGCCCUUAAGUCUCAUGUGUUUUAGCGGAAUGGUCUGGAAAGGCCAGCCAUAGAAGGUGAUAGCCCGGUACGCGAAAGGGCGCAUGAGGUGAAAUCGAGUAAGGCGGGGCACGUGAAACCCUGUCUGAACAUGGGAGGACCAUCUUCCAAGGCUAAAUACUCUCUGCCGACCGAUAGUGAACCAGUACCGUGAGGGAAAGGCGAAAAGAACCCCGGAGAGGGGAGUGAAAUAGAACCUGAAACCGUGUGCGUACAAGCAGUCAGAGCCUGGAUUCGUCCGGGUGAUGGCGUACCUUUUGUAUUAUGGGUCAGCGACUUACUUUCAGUGGCAAGCUUAACCGUAUAGGGAAGGCGAAGGGAAACCGAGUCUGAAUAGGGCGAAUAGUCUCUGGGAGUAGACCCGAAACCGAGUGAUCUAGCCAUGGGCAGGUUGAAGGUUGAGUAACAUCAACUGGAGGACCGAACCCACUAAUGUUGAAAAAUUAGGGGAUGACCUGUGGCUAGGAGUGAAAGGCUAAACAAACUCGGAGAUAGCUGGUUCUCCUCGAAAACUAUUUAGGUAGUGCCUCGUGUCUCACUCCUGGGGGUAGAGCACUGUUAUGGCUAGGGGGUCAUACCGACUUACCAAACCAUGGCAAACUCCGAAUACCAGGAAGUGCAAUCACGGGAGACACACGGCGGGUGCUAACAUCCGUCGUGGAAAGGGAAACAACCCAGACCGCCAGCUAAGGUCCCCAAAUCAUGGCUAAGUGGAAAACGAUGUGGGAAGGCCCAGACAGCCAGGAGGUUGGCUUAGAAGCAGCCACCCUUUAAAGAAAGCGUAAUAGCUCACUGGUCGAGUCGGCCUGCGCGGAAGAUUUACCGGGGCUCAAGCCAUGUACCGAAGCUGCGGAUGCGAGCUUGCUCGCAUGGUAGAGGAGCGUUCCGUAAGCCUGUGAAGGUGAACCGAGAGGUUUGCUGGAGGUAUCGGAAGUGCGAAUGCUGACAUGAGUAACGAUAAAACGGGUGAAAAACCCGUUCGCCGAAAGCCCAAGGUUUCCUCGCGCAACGUUAAUCGGCGCAGGGUGAGUCGGCCCCUAAGGCGAGGCCGAAAGGCGUAGUCGAUGGGAAGCAGGUUAAUAUUCCUGCACCAGGUGUUACUGCGAUGGAGAGACGGAGAAGGCUAGGUGCGCCGGGCGUUGGUUGUCCCGGUCCAAGCAAGUAGGCAGGUCCCUUAGGCAAAUCCGGGGGAUCAAUGCCGAGAUGCGAUGGGGAGCCCCCUAUGUGGGGCGAAGGUAUUGAUGCCAUGCUUCCAGGAAAAUCUUCUAAGCUUCAGGUAACACGUGACCGUACCGUAAACCGACACAGGUAGGCAGGGUGAGAAUCCCAAGGCGCUUGAGAGAACUCGGGUGAAGGAACUAGGCAAAAUGGUACCGUAACUUCGGGAGAAGGUACGCCUCUGGCGGUGAUGAGACUUGCUCUCUGAGCUUCUGGAGGCCGCAGUGACCAGGUGGCUGCGACUGUUUAUUAAAAACACAGCACUCUGCAAACACGUAAGUGGACGUAUAGGGUGUGACGCCUGCCCGGUGCCGGAAGGUUAAGUGAUGGGGUUAGUCUUCGGACGAAGCUCUUGAUCGAAGCCCCGGUAAACGGCGGCCGUAACUAUAACGGUCCUAAGGUAGCGAAAUUCCUUGUCGGGUAAGUUCCGACCUGCACGAAUGGCGUAACGAUGGCCACACUGUCUCCACCCGAGACUCAGUGAAAUUGAAAUCGCAGUGAAGAUGCUGUGUACCCGCGGCUAGACGGAAAGACCCCGUGAACCUUUACUACAGCUUCACAUUGAACUUCGGUUAUUCCUGUGUAGGAUAGGUGGGAGGCUUUGAAGCGUGGACGCCAGUCUGCGUGGAGCCAACCUUGAAAUACCACCCUGGUGUAAUUGGAGUUCUAACCCAGGACCGUUAUCCGGUUCGGGAACAAUGUGUGGUGGGUAGUUUGACUGGGGCGGUCUCCUCCCAAAGAGUAACGGAGGAGCACGAAGGUACCCUCAGCACGGUCGGACAUCGUGCGCUGAGUGCAAAGGCACAAGGGUGCUUGACUGCAAGAUCGACGGAUCGAGCAGGUACGAAAGUAGGUCUUAGUGAUCCGGUGGUUCUGUAUGGAAGGGCCAUCGCUCAACGGAUAAAAGGUACUCCGGGGAUAACAGGCUGAUACCGCCCAAGAGUUCAUAUCGACGGCGGUGUUUGGCACCUCGAUGUCGGCUCAUCACAUCCUGGGGCUGUAGCCGGUCCCAAGGGUAUGGCUGUUCGCCAUUUAAAGUGGUACGCGAGCUGGGUUUAGAACGUCGUGAGACAGUUCGGUCCCUAUCUGCCGUGGGCGUUUGAGACUUGAGGGAAUCUGCUCCUAGUACGAGAGGACCGGAGUGGACGAUCCGCUGGUGUUCCGGUUGUAUCGCCAGAUGCAUUGCCGGGUAGCUACGAUCGGCAGGGAUAACCGCUGAAAGCAUCUAAGCGGGAAGCCCAUCCCAAGAUGAGGUCUCACUGGACCCUUGAGGUCCCUGAAGGGCCCUGGAAGACUACCAGGUUGAUAGGCUGGGUGUGGAAGUGCAGUAAUGCAUGAAGCUAACCAGUACUAAUUGCCCGUGAGGCUUGGUCAUAUAACACCAAAGC
rnacentral:rRNA from 1 species